UGAGGUGAGGCAGUCAAAAGGACUGGACACAGCUGGUUGAACCCCUCGUGUUUUCAGUCUCUCAUUCAGUAUCCCUUUGUGGAGGAGAAUCAUGUAUGUACCACUCAAAUGUCCCCAACUCCAGGUGCUCCUUUGAAUGAGUGGUGAGGAUGAGGGUAGGAUGCAAAACAAAACCACCAACUCUGGUCCCUGAGGAUAAGAAAACUGAGACUGGAUUGAUGGAGGCUCUAAGAGGGAGAACUGGUGAACAAGAAAAAGCUACUUGAGGUGGAGUUGUGGCCAAGGAUGGAAUGGGUCUACUCAACAUUAAUGUAAAGACCCAGAUCAUUUUAUCUUUUUACACGGUUACUCUUAAGGGACAUGUGACAAGCCAUUUUUGUUCCUUCAAGAACAGCAACAACAACGCAAAGUAGAAACAUAAAUAAGCCUGCUGCAUCACACUUCAGAAAACCGAACUAAGUCAGCCCCAGAGAGCAGCGAUUGAGCGAGCUGUUGCAGGCGUCCAUGUAGCAGCAGCUGCUCAGUCCACGCGUGCUCUCCCUGCUUAGAACCUAAAGACAAGCGGGUGACUCUUCUCCAACUGCGCUACAGGGGUUUCAGAAGUGAAAGACAAUUUUAUCCUCUAUCCACCCUGCACAGAAUGUUCAAUGAUUUGAUAGACGUUAGUCAUUUUUGCCGUACACUGCCUCCGUCUUUUGUAAGAAGCACUUCUAAGGACCUCUUUUGUCUGGAAAUGUUUAAUCUAGUCACUGUAGGACUGAUGAGAAAGUGACAGCACCUACCUGGUUUCUCUGACACGUACCCAUCAGCGCACGGGAUGCAAUCGAAGCAGCAUAUGGGUUGCCCCUGGCGAAUCCCCUUCCGGGUCCCUGGACGACACACAUCUGUGCAGACUGAGUAGGGAAGCUAGCAAAGACAAAGACAGUGGGUGGAACAAAGCCUUGAAACUUUUCCACUGGCGUAACUGAGAAAGUUCCCAACUGUGUUUCCCGGGAGCUGUGGGUCCUGUUUAUCAAGGAGAUGAACCCAGGAUGGUGAGCGGAGAUGGAAGACUAACAUGACAAUACGGGGAGCCUAGAAACAACUUCUGCUGAAGAACCAUCCUGUGACUGACUCUGGAAAUGCCACACUAACUCUAAUGACGGUUCUUUGAGAUCUUGGUGACCAAGACCGAGCUGGCAUCACAGUCAGGACGAUUGGCUAAGUCUGUUUCCGUUUUAGGAGAACUUAAAACUUCAAUAAUCAUCCUGAAAACAUGAAACACGUUUCCUCUCAGCAAACUCAUUUCAACAUAAUAUUAAAAGUAAACAUAUUUCCUAAGUGGUAGGAAAA